GUUGAAAUAUACACAUAAGAUGCUUGUUUUCCUUUGCUAUAUGGAGAGAUAAAAAAUGACUUUGCUUUGAAGAAGGACCUCUUCAAGUUCAAAAAUAUUCAGAUUUCUCCAUGCAUAUGCCUCAGAGGUAGGAAGGCAAGAGAGAAACCAAAUACAAAAGUAAGGCAAUUUAGACUUCUCCAUCAAUCUUCCUCUUCAUUUUUCUCUAUACUUCUCAAUAUAUCAUGUUUUUUCUCCUCCCAACCCUAUAUUUUGGCUUUAGAAGCGACAUGAAGGAAUGAAUCCAUUUUUAAUAAAGUGGGUAUGUAAUAACGUCCAGUGAUCCUCUACGCCAGAUGCGUCGUGCGGUGGUUAUAGAUUUUUUUCCGUUCGAUAUGAUCGGCAGUUUCAUUCGCCUCGUGUAGAUUCAUAUUUCAUUGGAGUGAUUUGUUUUCUUUUCAAAUCAAAAUCAAAUAAUGAAUUACAGAUUAUUGUAACUUAUUUUCAAUUGUUUUUGGAGAUAAGGUGUCCACCAAAUAUGGUUUUUUACUAGGCCAAAUAUGUUAUUCAUAGGGUGGGGGUGUUUUUAAAUCUUCUCUAAAAUUGGAUUUGAUUUUUCAUCCAUUAUUUGUCCGGUAUUUUGCCGUCUAAGAAAAUAACUUAUGAUUCUUAAAUUUCUUAUUUUUAUUGGCCCAACAAACCUCACAAACAUUCAUAAACUAGAUCUAGGGUAUGGUA
rnacentral:lncRNA from 1 species